AAAUUGAAGAGUUUGAUCAUGGCUCAGAUUGAACGCUGGCGGCAGGCCUAACACAUGCAAGUCGAACGGUAACAGGAAACAGCUUGCUGUUUCGCUGACGAGUGGCGGACGGGUGAGUAAUGUCUGGGAAACUGCCUGAUGGAGGGGGAUAACUACUGGAAACGGUAGCUAAUACCGCAUAACGUUGCAAGACCAAAGAGGGGGACCUUCGGGCCUCUUG
rnacentral:rRNA from 1 species